GAUAUACUCCCUCCGUCCAAAAAUACUUGUCGGAGAAAUGCAUAAAAAUAGAUGUAUCUAAAACUAAAAUACGUCUAGAUACAUCCAUUCCUCCGACAAGUAUUUCCGGACGGAGGGAGUAGGUA
rnacentral:pre_miRNA from 1 species